rnacentral:rRNA from 1 species
AUGUCAGAUUGCUCUGCUCUUGAAAAGCUCCCUGAUAAAUUUGGUAGCCUCCCUAAACUCUCAUUCUUAAACCUGUCAAGUUGUUCAAACCUCACCAAACUACCUGACAAUAUAAGCUUUCCGUGUUUAGAGCACCUGAACCUAUCAAUUUGCCAUGAGCUAGAAAAGCUGCCAAUUGAUAUCGGCCACCUUCCCAAGCUUGAGUUCAUGGACCUGUCUGGUUGCUACAAGGUUUCAAUUCUGCCAGGGUCAUUUUGCCAACUUAAUCAUUUGAAGUACCUAGAUCUUUCAGAUUGUCAUAACCUCAAAGAACUCCCUGAAUCUUUUGGUCACCUAUCCAAGCUUGAAGAUUUGAACCUAACAAGUUGUGCUAAGCUCCGACAAUUGCCUGAGUCGCUAUGCAAAUUGUUUAAGUUGAGGUGUCUCUAUUUGUCAUACUGUCUGAUGCUCCGUGAGCUCCCCUCCUCAUUUGGUGACCUUAACCUUCAAAUACUGCGCAUGAAUGGUCUUUUACAUAUGAAGGACUUCCCUGAUAACAUUGGUGACAUGACUAGUCUCACCCAGUUUGUGGUUGAUAAAGGGUGGCCAAUUUAUAAGCGUCUAAAUUUUGUGGGCAUAGUAAAGCAUCGUGUACAUGAGAUAGAGAGCAGAGGACGCAGCAGUAUGGUGGAUCUUGUGGGGUUGAAUUGUUCAGAGCUGAUACUUGAAGGUCUUCAGAAUGUCAAGAAUCCAGAAGAUGCAGACCGAGUCAAACUGCGUGACAAAUCAAAUAUUCGAGUACUACAACUUCAUUGGGAAAACAAAGGAGGUAAAUCUGUGCUCGACAGGCUCGUACCUCCUCGGGGUCUUGAAAUUAUUUGCCUAUUUGGCUACACAAGCAAGGAUUUCCCUAAUUGGAUGUUAAACAUCUCGUCCUACCUCCCUUUUCUCAGUGAACUGGUUCUUGUAAGUUUGGAAGCAUGUGAUUGUCUUCCUCCAUUCGGGGCACUGCCAAAUUUAAGAAGUCUGUAUCUAAAGCACAUUCCCAACAUUAGGAUAGUCGGUAAGGAAUUCUAUGGGGAGGGCAGACCUUGUAUGAAACUAAGAGCACUAGGAUUGCGCAACAUGGAGAAUUUGGAGGAAUGGUGGACAACAGAGUCAAGUAAAGAAAACAAAGAGUUUCUAAUCCCUGGAUUGCAUCAUUUGGAGGUAGACGACUGCCCAAAGUUGAAGUUCCUACCAUAUCCCCCAAGAAGUAUGCAUUGGGGUUUGAGCAACAGCGAGACAGUUUGGCCAGAGCGAGGAUUCGGAAUGCUCUCCUCUUCCAUUGAUCCUUCUAGAAUGACUGUAGCAUUCUGUAGUUUCUCUCAAGACAUGUGGGAUAGACUUCAACACUUUCCCACACUUGAGAUGUUUAAGGUUGAAUCUGUCAGUGGAUUGAGGACAUUGCCAGAGGUCAUGACGUGCUUUACCUCUCUACAAGACUUUCACAUCCAAGAUUGUCCCAACCUGACAUCCUUGCCUGAAAGCAUGAAGAACCUCGCCGCUCUUAAAACACUAAGCUUGAUACAGUGCAAAGGCCUAGAGAUAUUACCGGAAUGGUUGGGACAGUUGACUUCCCUAGAAGAAAUUGAAAUCACUGAUUGCCCCAACCUGACAUGUUUGCCUGAAAGCAUGAAGCACCUCGACGCUCUUAAAAAAUUGUUGUUGGUCAAGUGCAAUGGCCUGGAGAUAUUACCGGGAUGGAUUGGACAGUUGACUUCCCUGGAAGAAAUUAUAAUUGACGAUUGCCCCAACCUGACAUGUUUGCCUGAAAGCAUGAAGAACCUCACUGCUCUUACGAAACUGUGGUGA